rnacentral:rRNA from 1 species
CCUACGGGGGACAGCAGUGGGGAAUAUUGCACAAUGGGCGAAAGCCUGAUGCAGCAACGCCGCGUGAGCGAUGAAGGCCUUCGGGUCGUAAAGCUCUGUCCUCAAGGAAGAGAAUGACGGUACGUGAGGAGGAAGCCCCGGCUAACUACGUGCCAGCAGCCGCGGUAAUACGUCGGGGGCUAGCGUUAUCCGGAAUGACUGGGCGUAAAGGGGGCGGAGGUGGUUUCUUAAGUCCGAGGUGAAAGGCUACGGCUCAACCGUAGUCAGCCUUUGACACGGGGAAACUUGCGUGCAGGAGAGGCGAGUGCACUUCCUCUUGUAGCUGUGCAAUGCGUAGCUAUUA